rnacentral:rRNA from 1 species
AUUGAACGCUGGCGGCAUGCCUUACACAUGCAAGUCGAACGGUAACGGGCCUUCGGGUGCCGACGAGUGGCGAACGGGUGAGUAAUGUAUCGGAACGUACCUUUCAGUGGGGGAUAACGUAGCGAAAGUUACGCUAAUACCGCAUAUUCUGUGAGCAGGAAAGCAGGGGAUCGCAAGACCUUGCGCUGAUUGAGCGGCCGAUAUCAGAUUAGCUAGUUGGUGAGGUAAAGGCUCACCAAGGCGACGAUCUGUAGCGGGUCUGAGAGGAUGAUCCGCCACACUGGAACUGAGACACGGUCCGGACUCCUACGGGAGGCAGCAGUGGGGAAUUUUUGGACAAUGGGGGCGAACCCUGAUCCAGCCAUGCCGCGUGAGUGAAGAAGGCCU